GGACGACUAAUUUACUAGAUUAAUAAGAUUUUUUUAAAUGUAGCUGCAAUGAAAUCUAAAAAAAUAUUAUUUCAGGUGAAUUGUUGGCUCCAUGAUUUCAGCCGGUUGACAGACCAAAAAUAUUGACAGUAGCCUACAUUGAAUAUUCAUUAUACUUUAUUUUUUGUUUUUUCUGUGAACUGCUAGCCUGUUGGAUAUGUAUUUAGUAAUUAUAUAGACAAUAUGAUGUGGAAGCACUGCUUGUAGAGUACGGGUAUCUGCAUGGGCAUUUUGAUGUGUAAGAAUGUAGUUGCUAGUAUAUACUCUGUACUGGGCCAGUCAAUACUCAUGAAUACUCCUGGUGCAGAAAAUCACUGAAUGUGUAAUUGUUGCAGUUGUAGCUCCAUGCACCGCUUUGGUGCUUUCUGUACUCAGGGGAACUCUUUCCAGGGGCAAUGAUGGCAGCUGUGCAGGAGAAGAUCCCAUUGAGAAGGCCAAAGACAGCCCACUGGAGUGGAGUGAAAACUCAAAGCCUGCAGCCACAGAUACCAUGCUGUCAAACUCACACAGUAAGGUGACCGAAGAAUUAUAAUGGAUAAAGAACUGGGCUUGUAACUCAAAGGUUGCAGGGUUGAUUCCCAGUUAGGAAACGGUUGUAGUACCCUUCAGCAAGGGAGACUCUGUGUCCUCAUUGACAGUCGAUCCACAGGGAUGUCGAAAUGAGCAGAACCACUUGCCUUGCACACACAGUCAGUGUCCAAAGUGUCCCAACACUUCAACCAAUCAUCUGAAAACCAGUAAUUCUGCACUCUUCACAAGAUUCUGCAGGUGUUUGCCUUCUCAAAAGGACAUUGGAAGUUUUUCCUGUUUGAAUGAAGAAGGAGUCAGAGGGACUGAAGAGAUAAGGCCCAGCUCUGCCCACCAUGCUGUGGCCAAUGGAACAGGACACAAGUUGCCAUGGUACCUGACUGUAAUACACGAGAAGUUUGAAAGGCUGCGGGUGAAGAUCAUUCAGGCUGCCUAUUCUGCUCCUGGUGCUAAACAACCCCAGGCUGAAAUCACUGAUGCUGCCCUUCUUCAGACCAUGCAGAAAAUAAUCGACGAUCGGACAGCGUUCCACCAAAGACUGCAACAGAAAGGAGAGAAAAUGGCUCCCCUCACAACAGCCGAGACACACAGCGUGAAAACCACACCCGCCUCAGAUAAGAACUGAAACCGACAUGUGACAGAGAGGGAAGGUGUUGCCAUAUUCUCUCACUGUUGAAUACAGUGUAUUCUUCACAAGAUGAAAGUUCACCAACAUAUAGCUGAUCUCCAAAUAUCAGUUGUAAUCUUAUCUUCUGUUUCGCUGGUUUAACUGCACAAUCAUAGCAUGAUAUCACAGGCUUAAUAAGAUACACUAAAGCAUCAAGGUGGCUGGGAGAUAAUUAGAUUAAUCCAAAAAGAUGAGCUAGCUCUAGCUAUUGCUCUAGCUGUUUAAAGAAACCACCCAGAGGAAGACAAAGCCAAAAUCCUGUGUUUUUGGAAAACCUGUAACUACUUCAACUAUUUUAAUGUCCCUGAAAAUAACCAAUGUACAACCAAAGCUUCCUUAUAAAUAUGUGCAAUUGAAUAAUCAUGAUCCACUUAUAAAAAAUAUUAAACGGAUGCUGUUUCUUGUUAA